CCACUAAACAUAAAUUUAAGUUAGAGUUUUAAUAACUUUAUUAAAUUUGAACUAAAUAUAUGCAUAAAAUGUCAAUAACUAAGCUAGGUAUGUUAUUGUACAUGUGAUCUUCUAUGAACUAAUCGAUCAACAUACCUUCUUGUGUUUUUUGCAGCAUGCACUUGUAUAAAUUUCAGGAAAAUCGAAUUUCUGUUGAAUUAUAACACGAGCCUUGACUUGAGCAAAAUAAUAGUAUUACCUUACCAUGAAUGAUGUAUAUUCUCACCCUUAUGUUCUUCCAUGUCGACUAAGAAAUAUGUAUUAAUUAAGAUCACUCGUGAUCACGAACAAAAAUUAACUUUCUUUUAGAAAAAAAUGUUGUCAAUAUGUCGAACUUGUUGAAGUUAAUUAUUAAAAAGUUCGGAAAAAAAAAUUUAUAAUUAGUAAUUAGGAGCUCCAUUUCGGAUCGGUGGUGAUCGCCACUAAUAAUGUAUAGUAUUACUCAAUAUUAUAAACGAAUCUAUCCAAAUGGGAUUUGGCCCCGAAACAAUGUAGUGAAGAAGUAUAGAAUCGCCUUUGAAAGUUGGAAGCCAAUUGUCGUCUGCCAAGUGGAAAUUGUUCUUGACACGUAUGCACGACAUGGAUAUUUACUUUUUAAGCAGGGGAUAAUAUUAUGUUUUAAAUUGCAUUAUUGUGGUACUAACUAAAACUUCAGCCACGAAUCAAUGGAUGACGAAUUUCGAAGUUUGAUGAAAAAUGAAGCCAAUCUCUGAUGGGCCCAUCCCACCUUUAUUAUUAUCAAGUAAAAGUAGUCCAUCAUAUACAGGCCCAACCCAAAAAUGGUCCCUUGAUAGAGCCCAUUAUCCUAGACAGUGUAUCUGUAUAUAUUUGAAAACUUCAUUAGUCUCUCUCAAAAUUAAAAAAUGAAACCAUUGAUU
rnacentral:lncRNA from 1 species